GUGCUAUGCUAGGUACUCCACCGGUGGUGCUCAUGUUUAUACAAAGACUCAUAAUGAUAAAUCAAUCAAUGAAAGUGAGAAGACAUUUGCAAUUAUCAUUGGACUGUUAGCAGGAGUCGCUUUAAUUAUUAUUUUCCUCACUUUCAUAAGAAAGGUGUUUGGAGGAAGUGGUAAAAUCUAAACUUUUGCUUUGUUAAAGGCCUUCAGUUUUUGUUUAAUUUCAAAUAGAUUCUGAACUAAAAAGGGCUCUCAUGCAGGCAAAUAAUUAAUUCCAACUUUUUCUAAGACAUUCGCCGAGCCACCGACUCAGUAUUCCUCCACCUGCUUCAAGUGAUCUGCUUUAGGGGGGGACUUUUGCUUGCCUUUUUUCUUUUUUAUUCAUAAUGUUAGCUUUCUUCUAUUUGAUAUUUCUUUUUUUUCUCUUUAAUUUACUCUUGAAAAGAAAGAUGUUGCUCGGGCCACAGGGCAUGAAGCCAAAUCAAAAGUUCAAAGGAGGCCAAGAUUCCAAUCGCUUCUUCACUCCAUUUAACAAAGUUGUAUUGUCCAAUGUGAAUUAAAAAAAUGGCAUGCAAUUCUUUUUGUAAAGGUUCAUUUGAUGGUUUCUUUUUUGAGAUGGUCUUUAUUGUACUUUUUCUUAUAUUUUGGGUAAGAAGCAAAAAUCUUUAUGAUCUAAUUUUUCAACAGUGGCAUUUCAAUUUGAUGAAGCAAUUCAA
rnacentral:misc_RNA from 1 species